rnacentral:rRNA from 1 species
AUGUUUCUUUUCCCGAAGGGAGCGAGCGAGCUAUGGUUUGCCGCCGGCUGCAGCAACCCCCACCUAACCUGUUUCUACCAUAGUCGACGCGUCGCCACGACCACCACAAUCACCUACACCGCCCGGCGCGCCACCACCACCUACUCCGCCAGUGCGCCACCAUCUCGACCUAGCUCCCCAACCUCCCGCACCUUCUCCCCUGCACACUGUGAGGCCCACACCUACCCCGACACCGGCCGUCGAGCCCACCUCCCCCUACCUCUGGCGCCACCACAACCUCUCCGCUCGGCCCCAGUCGAUGGAGCUACCUCUCCAUGGAAGGGAAAAGAGGCGCGCGAGGUCGAGGGGCGCAGCCAGAGGCCCGUCGGGGCACGACCACCAGAUGGAGCUCGGCUGCGCGCCGACCACCUUCCCUACCCCCAGCGAGGCCCGUCGAGGCUCGAGGCCCCCAUUGAGCGAGCCACUACCCGUGCGACCACACUCCGCCGCCAACGUGCACCAAUUCUGCCGCUAACUGAUGCUCUAGUUUUAGCGUCCAUGGUCUGGUUCGCCACAUGGGCCUCCCCACUUCUCCACACAGUGCUUCGGAAGCACCCUGGCCCCAGCCGCAUGCUCCAUCACGCUAGGGAUCGACGAGCUAUUACCAUUCUUGCAGCUAGCAUUUCCAUGAACAACCUGACAUGUCCUAGUGGUGCAAGAGAAUGGAUGCCGCUUGAGGAGUUCCUGAAGAAUCUGUUUAUCCAGGAGGACCACAUGUUCCAGAAGAUUAUGGACAUCUGCAUCCAGCAGCUAAGGGAGUGCUACUGCAGCCUGAAGAAAUCAAUUGAACUUUCUCUUGCGUUGUGCGUCUUCCUUCAGUUAACUUUGGAUAUUUGUAAUAGUUUACUUUUACUAAAUGAAGAGUUCCUAAAUAAGGUAUUCUGCAACCCCCACCCCCUCAUACCUGUAGCUACCCGCAACCUCCCACCCUCUCCUACUUGUAGCUCCCCGCGGAGCGAGCGGUGGCGAGCGGAGCUGGCGGUAAGCCGGGACGCACACCUUCUUCCACCCCCAAGUCACCAAAUCCUCCCCACCUUCUACCUCUGGUUGCCGCCGUGGGGCCGGACCUCUAGCACCGCGCCCAACCUCCCUCUCCGCCGCAGAUCCGGCGAGCACGGCCCCAACCGCUCCUCUCUUCCCCAGAUCCGGUGGGUGCAGCCGCAGUCUCUCCUCUCUGCCCCGGUCUGCGUGAGCACUGCCCACCUUCCACCCCGACCGUCGGUCCACCAUACAGAUGCAGCUGCGACCUCCUUGGUUCGGACAACAGAGGAGGUGCGCUGCAGUGCCGAGUGUGGCGCCAGAUUCUGCUCACUGUGCUCCUCUCCUCCUUGGCCUCCUGCACGCCAUUGCCUUCUAGAUUGGGUCGGCGACCACAACAACCCGGCCAGCGUGCGUUGA